UUAGUGCCUGACACAGAGCCACGUACGAGGUGCCUCCGCGCAUGCAAGAUGUAUAGCGCUUCUCCCACGUUCCCGGGGGGAGCUGGAAAGCUGCUCUGCACCUCCCACUGCUGCCUGCUUCCAGUAGCUGUGACAGAAACCGCGAGAUGGAUAGCAAAAGAGCAGUGCGAGUGAGACACCCGCCCGCCUGGGAUGCUGGGGGCGGGCGCUGGGCAGGAUGGUGGGCACCGCUGCUGCCGGGUGCUGCUCGGCCGGGCAGCAGCCAUGGUGGCCUUCCUGCACGCGUGAGCCUACGGACUGUUUUAAUUAAUUUCUUUUAUACGGGCGGUAGCUGUUCAGAAGGGCUUCCAACCAUGUCUAGAAGCGUGCAGCGGGGAGCCAAGAAACCUGCCGACGAAAAAGGGUCAGGAUGGCUGGCAGCUCUGCUCGCGCCAGGCUCGGGCACCGGGCUGGCUUGGCUCCCUCUGCAUCCUCCUGCUCUCACCGAGGACCAGCAUCAUCGUGAGAUGGGGGAAGGCAUCGCUGGGUCAGGCAGCCGUGCCCGAGGGGCUGCAGUGGCCCUCACAGUCCUUCUCCUCCGGCUGCACUAGCCCAUCUGAGACGGAGCAGCUGCCCCUCAGGGAGCACCAUAUCAUUCAGAGCCUACACCGUGAAGGUGGCUGUGUUAUUUAAGAGAGGGUGCCUAGGGCUUUCAGGGCCUGUGGUGUAGCUACAUCUCAGCACAGCUGGUCUGUCCCCAUCCUCCCUAGCCUUUUGGAUGCCAUCGUUCAGUUCCCCCCCAGCCGCCUUUCUCCUCCCUACAGCUCCGCCAUACUUUCCACUGCUGCAUGUCCUCCUGGAAUCUGGACUGUUCACUUGAGUCUUUAGCCUUUUAUCGCUGCUAUUGUGUCUGGGGAGGACUCCAAGGCACACUUUCUUGUGAAUGACUUCUUUUUUUGUGAUCUGUAAAUGUAGAGCGAGCGUGCCAAACUUUGCAGUACCAAGAAAUACUGGAGUUCUUGAGUUUCUUUCCAGCUCUUCCAAGUUGGAAAACUCCUGGGAUAGUUCUUAUAUUUCAUGGUUACCUAUAAAUAGCUGUCACAAUAGCUGUCAUUUAUAUUCUCUUCAGGAGACUUAAGACAGGGAAUUAAGGCAUCAAACUGGAGCAGUGCAUGAUGUCUGUGACUGAAAGCUUUCGUGUGAACUUAAACACCUUCGCUUCCCAUCUGUGCCAUGGACUGGAGUCAGCCUUGCCGGUCAGGAAGCAUCGGGUCUGUGCCUGUAGGCAAAGAGACUGCGACCCGCAGAGGUGACCUGCAGGGAUGUGGAAGUGCCAGGAGGAUGACAGUGAGCACUGUUCAAUCCUUGCACCCUUAUUUUUUAAAACCAAAGGUGCAGUGUGGCUUAGGUUAAGGUGUUUGGUUUGGUUCUCCACCAUCGUAGCAAACAUAGGCACUGAUAGAGCUGCGAAUAAUGAAGUGAAUCCCAUCCUCAAGUCAGCUAAGGGACUGAGAGGAGACCUUUGCGCUCUGGAACAGCUUGGAUUUCUAGGAGAAGGGAGGAGAGGGGGGGACGUGACGCUUGUCUGUGCUGCUGCAGUGGUUUUGCUGUACGUGUUUGCAGCCCUGAGGCUGCAGCGCUCUCCCCAGUCCCUCCCCGCUCAGUUCUCCCCAGGUUGAAUGACUUGUCCUAGGUGAAAGAUUUUUUUUUUUUUGGCUUCUUUUCUAACGGUGACAAAUGAUUUUAUUCAGCGGAAUGGAAGUGUCAGAGGAAUAAUACUGGCGGCUCCUUUCCCAAGCCGCCGUAGUGAGCCUGACAUGAAAAACGUACAGGCACAGGCAGAGCUCAUCUGUUGUUUUGACAGUCUUCGGGGUCAUGUAAGGUUCUGCAUCGGAGUGCGAGUUUCAUGCGGUUGGAGGGUUUUUUGGCUUCUGCUGGAGGUGAGACUGAAACCUGAUGAAGCGAGUCAUCAACAACUCCGCAGACGCUGGCACCGCGGCAGGAAACAAAAGCAGCUUUUUCCCCUCAGCAGCGUGUUCCCCGGCUCCUCGGCAAAGCUGGCGAGCGACCGUUCCCCUGCACAUGGCCCGACUGCCUUAAAAAGUUCUCCCGCUCCGACGAGCUGACUCGGCACUACCGGACCCACACCGGUGAGAAGCAGUUUCGGUGCCCCCUCUGCGAGAAGCGCUUCAUGCGGAGCGACCACCUGACAAAGCACGCCCGCCGCCACACCGAGUUCCACCCCAGCAUGAUCAAGCGAUCCAAAAAGUCCAGCUCCAGCAGCAGCAGCUCCUUGUGAGCGCGGGGCUGGCCCGGGGAGGGGAGCCGGGGGGACGCAGGCGAGGUGCGGGCUGCGGUGCUGGAGCACGAGCAUCCCUCGUGCUGCCGGUUGCCCUCGCCAUCCGAAAGCACAUGUAGCCAACGUUCAAAAAAAGAAAAAAAAAAAAAUUU